AGCGAUUCUCCUGCCUCAGCCUCCCAAGUAGCUGGGAUUACAGGUGCCCGCCACCACGCCAGGUGCUCAGGAUGGCUGGAGUCAAGUCAUGAGUUUGCAAAACCCAGGGAGACCCAUUCUAGGUUCAUCAACUGCUGGCAAUGACUUCUACUAAGAUGACCACGGCUGCUACUGUGUGGGGGGCGCUUCCAGAGCAGUACCCAGUGCUGUGCUGAGCACUGUCACGCAAAUCACUCUGUUGCUUUUCACAGCCACCCCCCAGGCAGAAGCCACCACCUUUUCACUCUACCAGGGAGGGCGAGUCACUGGCCCGAGGCCACACACACACACACACACACACACACAUGCUGCAAGGCUGGGGUUCAGCCCUGGGUGGUCUGUGCCGCAAGCGUGCACCCAGCCUCAGGAUCUGAUGAGCUGGGACAGAAGUGCCUCACCAGUUCUAAUGGAAAUGGGUUGAAUGGCCAGAACCAAGGUCCUCUCCACACCCGCUAAUCUCUCUGACUGAGUUCCCAGGCUCCGUGAGCAGCACUGCCACCUACCCAGGAGCUCAGCAGGGGUUGCGGGUGGCCCCAUCACAUCCACAGUUCCUGCCCACCCCUCCAGAUCCGAGUGGCAGCAAAGCUGAGGUUCCACAUCACUGUCUGCAUGCUGGCCCUGCAGGGCAUUUUAGGCAUAUAGACCAUGAACCUCACAAGCACCUUGCGAAGCAGGCAGUAGUACUACUCCCAGCUUUACAGAUGUGCACUGCAGCACCCAGAGGCUCAGUGGCCUGCUCAAGGUUAUGCAGUCAGGAAGAGAAAGAACCAGACGCUGACCUUCUGUCCCCUCCAGGUCCAAUACCAGCAUCUCCCCAGGCUCCAGGGUCCAGGGUCACCGCCUCCCCACUGCCUGCCCCAUUUCCUCUCCUGCCUCCUUCCUCUCAUUCCCUACCCUUCAGUCAGGGCCAUCCUUCCAGACCAGAGAUCGGAUCAUGCCACUUCUCUUUAAAGGCAUCCACAGGUUCCCCACUGUCCUUGGAACAGCGCUACCUGGCCAAGGCCCUUCCUGGCCAGCCCGGGCUUCCCUCUCCAGCCCGCUCCACCCAGCUCCACUUGCCCUCCAUGAGUUACUCCUGGCCCACCUUUAGCAAGAUGCCUGGCCUGGACAUGCCACACCCCCUCAGCUGUGCUACUCAAGUCUCCAACAUCCUUUCUCCCCUCUUUUUUUUUUUGCCCAGGAAAACUCCUACUCAUCCUACAUUACCCAGCUAGGACAUGAACUUAUGUCUUAGCUUUCCCAGGUGCUUACUCUUGGGCCAGGGUAUCUACUUGCUACAGUGCUUAGCACACUGGGAUGGAGCCAUCUGCCCAUUGGUCCCAUCGCCAGACCAUGAGCUCCCCCAAAGCAGGACCCGUGUUGGCUUGGUCUAGGUCCUCUGAGUGGCCCAAGCCCAGGCAGAAUCCCGCUAAACAGGACCAAGGUGGACAUUCACCAAUGACCAUGCAAACAGGCUCUCAAUUCCAGGGUGUCCACAGCAGCUGGUGCCUGGUCUGAUGUCUGCCGUGCCCUGGGAAUGGAGAGCAUGUGGCCUUUUUUUCCUUUUUAACUGUUGCGCCUGCACUUGUGCCUGCCCGGUCUGUCUACUGGGGUGGGAAAAGGCAGUUUAUGAACCAAGGGUGAGCCGCCGUGGUCUUUCUAGCCAGGGCUGUUGGAAACCACUUGAGUGAAUCGAGCCCUAGUAAACGGCUCUUAACCACUCCCCAGGGAGCGCCGGAGACCCCCAGAUAAUAAGCUGCAUGUGUGUGGGAGACAGGCCCACUUUUUUCCCAAGGAUUUAUGAGCGGGGGAGUAUUCUCAUUGACCUCCAUUUCAGGAAAGGCCUCUUUCUGGAACACUUGCCGAAUACUCCAUCAACAGGGAAGCACAUAUGCUCGCCGCAAGCCUGCCCGACGGCCCCAUGCCCAGCAUAUGUUUCUUGUCUCCUACGCGUUUCAGCACUGGCUCUGGGGAAUGUGUGUAUUUUUGAACGUCCCUAAACACAGCUCUGAGUGAAGCACUUAUAAUUUACCCUCCAUGAAAGCCGUUGCUGCUCUUUCCAAACAUACUUGGAAGUGGAUUCAAAGUUUAUUUAGAAAGAACAUUAAAAAAAAAAAAAAAGACGGAA